rfam:Pleurocapsa sp. PCC 7327, complete genome.
GUUGAGCUGCUACGUUGGUGACUGCCAAUCAAGUUUUUUGAUCUAUGCUUGAAAAAUAAGGGAACCAACGAUUUUACGUGGCAGUAGACCGAGCUUGUACUCGGAAACGAAAGCGUAAGAUGUCGGUACCCACCUGGUUUAUCCAGGUCAUAAACUGAGGUAAAACGGCGUAGCGGUUAAUCU